GAAUUGCGUUAGGGAUGGAAGCGAUAUCCUUUUGUGAUAAACCUGACUUCUUCUGUUUUUCUAAAGCCACUGUCACAAAAGAUUUAGCGGACAGCCCGACCUGGA
rnacentral:sRNA from 2 species